rnacentral:rRNA from 1 species
CCCCUUAUGACCUCGGCUACACACGCGCUCCAAUGGCGUAUACACCGAGUACCCAACCCGCGCGGCUGAGCUAAUCUCUUAAAGUACGUCUCAGUUCGGAUUGUAGGCUGCAACUCGCCUACAUGAAGUCGGAAUCGCUAGUAAUCGCGGAUCAGCACGCCGCGGUGAAUACGUUCCCGGGUCUUGUACACACCGCCCGUCACACCAUGAGAGUUUGUAACACCCAAAGCCGGUGGGGUAACCUUCUGGGAGCCAGCCGUCUAAGGUGGGACAGAUGAUUAGGGUGAA